UGAGGAAUAUUGGUCAAUGGGCGCGAGCCUGAACCAGCCAAGUAGCGUGCAGGAAGACGGCCCUAUGGGUUGUAAACUGCUUUUGCGCGGGGAUAACGUCCGCCACGUGUGGCGGCUUGCAGGUACCGCGUGAAUAAGGACCGGCUAAUUCCGUGCCAGCAGCCGCGGUAAUACGGAAGGUCCGGGCGUUAUCCGGAUUCAUUGGGUUUAAAGGGAGCGUAGGCCGCGCGUCAAGCGUGCCGUGAAAUGCCGUGGCUCAACCAUGGCACCGCGGCGCGAACUGUCGCGCUUGAGUGGGCUCGAGGCAGGCGGAAUUCGUGGUGUAGCGGUGAAAUGCUUAGAUAUCACGAGGAACCCCGAUUGCGAAGGCAGCCUGCCAGCGCCGCACUGACGCUGAAGCUCGAAGGCGUGGGUAUCGAACA
rnacentral:rRNA from 1 species